UAUGACCAUAUCACAUUUAAACACUGGUCUCUGUACAAUCACUGAAGUUAAGUAAUGUUGAGCCUGAUCAGUACCAAGAUGGGUGAUUGCUUGGGAAUACCACAUGCUGUAA